rnacentral:rRNA from 1 species
GAUGAACGCUGGCGGCGUGCCUAAUACAUGCAAGUCGAGCGAACAGACGAGGAGCUUGCUCCUCUGACGUUAGCGGCGGACGGGUGAGUAACACGUGGAUAACCUACCUAUAAGACUGGGAUAACUUCGGGAAACCGGAGCUAAUACCGGAUAAUAUAUUGAACCGCAUGGUUCAAUAGUGAAAGACGGUUUUGCUGUCACUUAUAGAUGGAUCCGCGCCGCAUUAGCUAGUUGGUAAGGUAACGGCUUACCAAGGCGACGAUGCGUAGGCGACCUGAGAGGGUGGUUGGCCACACUGGAGGUGAGACCGGGCACCGACUCCUGAGGGAAGGAACAGUAGGGAAUCUUCCGGAAUGGGGGAAAGCCUGACGGAGCAACGGCGCGUGAGUGAUGAAGGUGUUCGGAUCGUAAAACUCUGUUAUUAGGGAAAAACAAAUGUGUAAGUAACUAUGCAGGUAUUGACGGUACCUGGUCAGGAAGCCACGGCUAACUACGUG